UACCUAAUUACACGUGCUGCCAGGAUGACGGAUGAGAAAGUUGUGUAAAGCAUGAGUCAUACCUUCUAACGAACGCCGCGAGACGCGGCCAUUGUUAUACCAUUGUUCAAAGUGGUAUUUCCUUCAAUAACGUCUGCGUCUAAUAGCCCUUAGGUUCUUAUAUAAACGUGCACUGACUUGAGAGUGCAUUGCGUUUCAUUGGUCCCUCUUCCGUUCCCUCUUCGCCUGUUUCUACGCUUAACAUACAGCGGCAUACUGUUCUGCACGAAAACGAUAAUUCGCCGUCAGACAGCUUCUCCUGUGUGUCACACUUACACGAUAUCAGAGGGUUCUUGUACCAGGUGUUUUGAGGCAGCUUACGCACAUAGUACCGACAGUACAUCCAGAAGAAUGGCAUCUGCAAAUAGGCCUGUGACCUUCCUUGCAUACGUCCUGUUCUUGUCCAUGAUCCUUUCCGCUGUCUUUGAGACUGCAAGAGGCAGAGAAACAGCAGACCCCGAUGGCUGCGUUAGACACAAGACGCCAACAUAUCA